CCAGGCGCGAAAACUUUACAAUGGGGGCAACCCCGAUGAGGGAAUUCCUAGUGCUGACACUUUUUUGUGUCAGCUUUUCUUUAGCGUAGAUAACUAGAGGAAUAAGGGCUGGGUAAGACGGGUGCCAGCCGCCGCGGUAAUACCCGCAGCCCGAGUGGUGGUCGACUUUAUUGAGUCUAAAACGUUCGUAGCCGGUUCGCUAAAUCCUUGGGUAAAUCGGAAAGCUUAACUUUCCGAAUUCCGAGGAGACUGGCGAACUUGGGACCGGGAGAGGCAAGAGGUACUUGGGGGGUAGGGGUAAAAUCCUGUAAUCCUCCAAGGACCACCGGUGGCGAAGGCGUCUUGCUAGAACGGAUCCGACGGUGAGGGACGAAGCCCUGGGUCGCAAACGGGAUUAGAUACCCCGGUAGUCCAGGGUGUAAACGCUGCAGACUUGGUGUUGGGGACCCUUCGGGGGUGUUCAGUGCCGGAGAGAAGUUGUUAAGUCUGCUACUUGGGGAGUACGUCCGCAAGGAUGAAACUUAAAGGAAUUGGCGGGGGAGCACCGCAACGGGAGGAACGUGCGGUUUAAUUGGAUUCAACACCGGAAAACUCACCAGCAAAGACUGUUACAUGAAACUCAGGCCGAUGACCUUAGUAGAUUUUCAGAGAAGUGGUGCAUGGCCGUCGUCAGUUCGUACUGUGAAGCAU
rnacentral:rRNA from 1 species